GACGAACGCUGGCGGCGUGCCUAAUACAUGCAAGUCGAGCGGACGGAUGGGAGCUUGCUCCCAGACCGUCAGCGGCGGACGGGUGAGUAACACGUGGGCAACCUGCCUGUAAGACUGGGAUAACUCCGGGAAACCGGGGCUAAUACCGGAUAACUCUUUCCCUCACAUUAGGGAAAGCUGAAAGAUGGCAUCUCGCUAUCACUUACAGAUGGGCCCGCGGCGCAUUAGCUAGUUGGUGAGGUAACGGCUCACCAAGGCGACGAUGCGUAGCCGACCUGAGAGGGUGAUCGGCCACACUGGGACUGAGACACGGCCCAGACUCCUACGGGAGGCAGCAGUAGGGAAUCUUCCGCAAUGGACGAAAGUCUGACGGAGCAACGCCGCGUGAGUGAUGAAGGUUUUCGGAUCGUAAAACUCUGUUGUCAGGGAAGAACAAGUACCGGAGUAACUGCCGGUACCUUGACGGUACCUGACCAGAAAGCCACGGCUAACUACGUG
rnacentral:rRNA from 1 species